AAGUAAAAGUCGUAACAAGUUUCGUAGUGAACCUGCGGAAGAUCAUUAAAAAAUUCUGCCAUUGUUUGGUGAACAAUAAUCAUCUACCUUUGUGAAUUUGUUGUUUGUAAUAAUUUUUAAAGAAAAAUUAUUUACUGUCUAUCCUGGAUAGUAAAAGUUGGAAGGAGUAAUCAGAAACUUUGUUUCAGGAAUAGUAUGUAAUAAUUUUCAUUUAAGACCUUUUUUUAAAUAAACUUUGUAUUCAUUUGUCUAAAAUUUAUUUUAAAUAAUUUAAAAACAACUUUUGACAAUGAUCUCUUGGUUUCGCAACGAUGAAAACGCAGCAAAUGCGAUAAGUAUGUGAAUUGCAGAAUACGUGAAUCAUCAAUCUCGAACGCAUAUUGCACUUUUUAGUUUACUAAAAAGUAUGUCUGUUUGAGUAUCAGUAAAUAUUCUCAAUAACUUUUGUUUAUUGGUUAUGAGUGUUUUACAACGAUACAUUGUUCACUUUAAAUUGACUUUAUAAACUAUCCAUUUAGGUCAAUUUUAAAAUUGGAUAAAUUUUCCUGUAAAAGGGAAUAAUUGACAGUUUUAAGAAGAUUAAAAGGUUUUCUUAAAAGGAAAUUUAUAAUAACUAACUUGAUCUCAAUCAGAUAAGAGUACCGCUGAACUUAAGCAUAUCAAUUAAGCGGAGGAAAGAAACUAACAGGAUUCCCUAGUAACGCGAGUGAAGCGGGAAGAGCUCAAAUUUGAAAUCUUCAAGGUUUCCUUGACGAAUUGUAGUUUAUAGAAGUGUUUCUGUUAGAGGUGGUAAAGUUCUUUGGAAUAGGACAUAUAGGGGUGAAUCCGUAUUUGAUCACUUUCACUAACGUUGUGAUCACUUUCAACGAGUCGAUGUUUGGGAAUGCAGUCCAAAUGGGUGUAAAUUCAUCUAAAGCUAAAUAUUGGGAAGACGAUAGCGACAAGUACCGGAGGAAAGAUGAAAGAACUUUGAAAAGAGAGUUAAACAGUACGUGAAAUUGUCAAAGGGAAGCGUUUGACACAGUGUUGUCUUCCGAAAUCAAUUACGAAUGGCGGAUUCUAAGUUCAUGACCUUAAAAGCUGUUUCUUCUUUUCCUGUCUUUCUUAAUGCACUUUCGGUUAACAAGUCAACAUCAAUUUCUUUGUUGUAAAAGGUUAAGAGGAAGGUGGCUUUACUUUCGGGUAAGUGUUAUAGCCUUUAACUCUGCAAUCGGAGAUUGAGGUUGCAGCGUAGAUCCUUCGGGCUAGAUACGUUUGUGCUAAGUUAUGGCUUUCAUAGACAACUUUUGACUAUGUUAGUCUUGUAGCUACUCGCAGAUGCUAUUUACUACGCUUAGAUGU
rnacentral:misc_RNA from 1 species